GUGCGAUCAGCCUGCUCUGAAGUGGCUCCGUGCACCCAGGAGAGGGGAGAGAUGAUCAUGGCAGAGGAGAGGGAGGGUAGUCUUCAUUGGGAUGCUCCCUGUACGGUAACUGCCAGGAUUAUUGGCGAAGUUACCCCGUGUCUACGACUGCCAUACUUAAUCUUCUGUGAUACUUGACUCGCCUCUUUGCUGCAGCGCCCCUGGCGGAGCUGAAUAUUUUUUUCAUCGCCUUUCGUGCGUCUCUCUCGUAUGCUCGCUCGCUCGCACACUUCCGCUUCCAGGCACUGUAUAGUUUAUAUUUCAAUGGCAUGCCAUGCCUUACGCCUGGUCACGCACUGCUGGUGCAUGGCAAUUUUGAUUUCCUCAGGUGAACUCGCUUGACUUUCUGAUAGGUGACAUGCCGAAUAGCAGACGACAAAAUUGUCGGAAACUCUCAAAACUUCGACAGUGGCUGUGCCCUAUUCUGUAUUGGAUUGUUAUGUUUGGGCCCAUGUUUGUCUUUUUUUCGCACGCCACUUUCCAUAUUUUCCUGUGACCUUGUUGACUUCUGUGUGUCUGCCGAUAACCACAGACUGCAGCGCCACUGUGGGUGGCGCCAUCGUCACUGGAGGCGGAGGAGGAUCCGUGGGACAACGAACUCGACGAACUUAAACAAGCGGGAGUUAUACCGAAAUAAAUUAUAAACUGUGAUAAUGAUAAAUCAGUGUGGUGUAUUGUUCUUUCUUGAGUGAUAAGAAGAUAGCCAUAACGCCAACGUUGGCCUUGAGCCCGUGUCCUUCGAACGCCUUCGAAGAUAACAAAGCAGAGAAGAGGCUUUAGAAAGGAAAUCUACUCUUUCUUUGAUCACCAAUAAUCCCACUAAUGGAGUGAGACGGUGUUCACCAGUUGCAAAGUCAUCCUCCCUUGCAAGAGCGUUACUUCGGUUACCAUGGAAACUCCCGAGGAGAUUUAUUCUGCUCUUCUGAUACGUUUCCUAUAAAAUUGAUGAUGAGUGUGAUGACAGUAGUAGUAAUUGAAAAUGGCAGAAUUAGAAUGAUUUGAAAUUAGAUUUAUUGACUGGCACUCUUACGCAUGUAUGAGCAGGGGCGAAUUUAAGGGGGGGCGACCGCCCCCCUCCCCAUACGGUCGUGUUCCCUAUGUAAAAAUCCUAUCUCCUGGACGAUGCUGCGCCGCAAAGCACGAAAUUUUCUUAAGACCGCCCCCCCCCCCCCCCAUGACAGACCCUUAAAUCCGCCCCUGUGUAUGAGCAAUUUUUAAAAAAAUCAGUCUGAAUUAGAGAGUGAGGAGGAGAGUAUCAAAUACCUCUCUAUUCCGCCAUUUUCGGUUACCCCCUGACAGUGCCUCCACCGAUUCUGUAUCGUUUUCCUUUUGACGACUUGUCGACGUAUUGGUAAAUGUCGAGUCUGAUAAAUGUGACACGUAUUUAUAGUUCUCGCACGACCGUGCAGGUGUUGGCAGACAAUACGCGGUCUUCCGGUGCAGCUUCUGCUCUUACGAGACGAGCAGGAAGCACCACGUAAAGCGCCACGAGAGGAGACACACUGGCGAGAGACCCUUCCAGUGCGACAUCUGCAAGAACACGUUCACCCAGAGGUCCAGCCUCAAGCUGCACAUGCGCGGCCACACGGGCGAGAAGCCGUACCAGUGCCACCUGUGCCUCAAGUCGUUUACGCAGAGGCGCAGCAUGUUGGACCACGUCAACAUGCACAACAACGAGAAGCCGUACAUGUGCAACCUCUGCCCCAAGGCCUUCAACAGGAAGAGUAACUUGCGGACCCACAAGAUGCUCCACGCCCGUGCCGCCGCUGCGGGCGGCGUGAUGCUUUAGGCGGCCCGGAUUUUUUUUUGCUACGUUUUUUUUUUACGCGUAUUUGUUGCUGGUACAAUGCGCUCGCAUUAAUUUGACCUUUGGUACCAGCGGCUUGGGUACCAGCUGUGCUACAAAUAAAUUAUGUUCGUAACUAGA